rnacentral:rRNA from 1 species
CCUACGGGAGGCUGCAGUGAGGAAUAUUGGUCAAUGGGCGAGAGCCUGAACCAGCCAAGUCGCGUGAGGGAAGACGGUUCUAUGGAUUGUAAACUUCUUUUGCCGGGGAGCAAAAAGCGGUACGUGUACCGCAUCGAGAGUACCCGGAGAAAAAGCAUCGGCUAACUCCGUGCCAGCGGCCGCGGUAAUACGGAGGAUGCGAGCGUUAUCCGGAUUUAUUGGGUUUAAAGGGUGCGAGGGGGGUGAGUUAAGUUAGCGGUAAAAUUUCGGGGCUCAACCCCGACGAGCCGUUGAAACUGGUUGGCUAGAGUGGGGGAGAAGUAGGCGGAAUGCGUGGUGUAGCGGUGAAAUGCAUAGAGAUCACGCAGAACUCCGAUUGCGAAGGCAGCAUACCGGCGCCCAACUGACGCUGAGGCACGAAAGCGUGGGGAGCGAACAGGAUUAGAUACCCCAGUAGUC